CGAGGCUUUACUAUAGGAUUUCACAGCAAAGCAUAGUCUGGUUUGGGCUGAUUGCUGCCACACUAGCUGCUUGAAAUGGGCAUGGAAGUUGUCUGCUGUUCAGAAAGACUGAAAUGAUAACCGGGUCGUAGGAGCGCAAACCUUUAACUCCAGCACUCAGGAGGCAGAGGCAGGUGGAUCUCUGAGUUGGAGGCCAACCAGGACUACAGGGUGAGUUCCAGGACAGCCAGGGUUUUACACGGAGAAAUCCUGUCUCAACAAAGAAAAACCAAAGCAAACCAAACCUGAAAAGAAAUCAUGGAAUGAUAAGGAGGGUGAUUGAGAGUCGUUGGCAAUCAGUGUGAGAGAAGGAGGAGCACCAUGAGUCAGGACCAGUGGAGACUAUGUCGGAGCCAGACCUGAGCCCAGAGCCCGGAUGUGGGUGAGUGAAGACAAGGCAUACCUCGGUGUGACCACUUUCCAGAAUUCAGAUGACGCGGUAUUUCAUCUGCUACAACGUGAAGCAUUCGCCAACGAAAUCAGUGGAGUCGAGAGGAUUUGAAGUUUGAGGGCGUCCCUGGAGGAAUAGUGCCACUGAGCCCCUCCCGGACGUGGGAUUUGUGUAGGGACUAAUCCGAGGAGAGCAGUGUUGAGUCGUGG
rnacentral:lncRNA from 1 species